UGAUAUAGGGGUUAAAGUGAUAUGAGUGCAGAUAAGAAAACCAAACCUGUGUCUUACCUGCACUCAUGUCACUUUAACCCCUGUAUCA